rnacentral:rRNA from 1 species
CUGCUGCCUCCCGUAGGAGUCUGGGCCGUGUCUCAGUCCCAAUGUGGCCGGCCGCCCUCUCAGGCCGGCUACUGAUCGUCGCUUUGGUGGGCCGUUACCCCGCCAACUGGCUAAUCAGACGCGGGCCCAUCCUGUACCACCGGAGUUUUCAAAGGAUUACCAUGCGGUAUUCCCUAUUAUGCGGUAUUAGCACCUAUUUCUAAGUGUUAUCCCCCGGUACAGGGCAGGUUGCCCACGCGUUACUCACCCGUCCGCCACUAAGACAGAUU